GUGCCCACUUCAGCAGCACAUGUAGUAAAAUCGGAACAAUACAGAGAAGAUUAGCACGGCCCCUGCCCAAGGAUGACAUGCACAUUCGUGAAGUGUUCUGUAUUUCU